rnacentral:rRNA from 1 species
GUCUACGGCCACACCACCCUGAACACGCCCGAUCUCGUCUGAUCUCGGAUGCUAAGCAGGGUUGGGCCUGGUUAGUACCUGGAUGGGAGACCUCCUGGGAAUACUGGGUGCUGUAGGCU